rnacentral:rRNA from 1 species
UACGUAGGGUGCGAGCGUUGCCCGGAUUUAUUGGGCGUAAAGGGCGCGUAGGCGGCCACGCACGUCCGUUGUGAAAUCGCCCGGCUCAACUGGGCGGGGUCGGCGGAUACGGCGUGGCUGGAGCAAGCUAGGGGGCAAUGGAAUUCCCGGUGUAGUGGUGGAAUGCGUAGAGAUCGGGAGGAACAUCAGUGGCGAAGGCGGCCAUCUGGGACAACACUGACGCUGAGGCACGAAAGCGUGGGGAGCAAACAGG